GGGUCCCCCUCCUUCCUUCUUCACUGCACUUUGAACCUGUUUAGGCAGCGGGCUUGGGGAGGGGGGAAGCUCUCCCAAGGGCUCGGGCGUCUCGCCUUUACGACGAACUCUGUGUGUCCCGGACGAGAAGGGGUGGCGAACCUAGAAACCAGUAAGAAGAAUUAAGCCGGUUUAAAUUGCCUCCUCUUUGCAACAUGCAAACAGAUUUCUGAUUCUUUUUUUUUUCGCCGGAAAACUAAUUGGAGCUAUGCAAGAAGAGUCAAAUUCCGUGAUUACCCUGCUUUAAAAAGCGGGGUUGGGGUUAAAUCCGUCGUCGGCGUGCACGCGGAGAGUUCGGAAAUGAUUUAAGGGAGAGAAUUGGUUAAUUUCACUUUCUGUGUUUAUCCAUACUGUCCGCCGUUUCGCUCCCUCCCUCCGAUUCUUUCCCUCUUCUCGGUUUCUUCUCGACAAAAUCGGAGAUCGGACUUUUUUCUGUUGAUUUGUGUAAGAUUCUCUCUUUCAAUUUCCUGGUGCCCUUCUGGGGAAAAAUAAUCUAGAAUUAGACUUAAUUUGAUAAGAUCAGUACAGUAAGAGAUACACCUUUCUACAGACGGAAACUUUGAACUGUAAUGAAUCACACACAGCGUGACUGAGAAGGUCCUAGUUUUUAUUUAUUGGACCAUUUCAUUUAUCAGCCCUUUCUCCUUAUCCAGGCUGAUCUUUUUUUUUUUUCUUCUAAAAACUACAGAAUGGAUUUGUGGUACAACUCUAAAAUUAAAAUUAUUCAGAAGCCAGGUCCAUAACAUGUUCCUGUUUUUCCUAAAAUAACCUUUUUGUUCACGUAUAGAAAGAUAUUUCUCAGUUUAGAAAAAUGUUUCUCAGUGUUGCACAUUUUAAUUUUAAUCUUCUGGAUUUCUUCUUCUUUGUAAUAAAUAUUUCAGGUCACAGCCUGUUUAAAUUGUUAAACGUUUUUACUACCUGAAUUGGGGCGGGGGGGGGGUGUAAUUAGAAAUAAGACCUGUAUAGUUCCUUGAGUCACUUCGGAGUAAACAUGAAGAGGAUGGAUCUGGGCUAGAAUCCUGUGUCAGUUUACAUGAGAAUUGGUCCCAUUGUAUGUGGUGAGGCUUAACUUUCCUCCUAUUGAAAUGAAUGAGACAGAAGAAAUCAGUGCGUGUCUGCUCUGCAACAGCUGGUUUCAGUGGGUUCCACUGAAAUUCAAGGUGUGUAUAUGGGUAUAUGCACACGUAUGCUUAAAAUGGUUGAAUUUGAUUGGACUGUGCAAUUUAAUUUUGGAUUUCUUUGCUCCUUUCUGAAUGUGCCCCAAAGAACAACUGGGUUGUUAUUAAGUUGCUGGUGUUAUUAUUAUUGACAAUUAUUUUUGUUCACUUCAGCUGCUUAUCUAGAAAACAGCGAUAAAUCAAAGGCUCAGCCUUCCAUGUGGCCACAGAUGGCAGGGUCAUGCCAGGGGUGAAGAGGUGAUGGGCGUGCCUAACAGGUUCACCGCAACAUGUGAACUGCUGCCAGGCUACUUUUGAAAGCUGUGUACAGACUUCACGUCCAUCUCUGAAGCCACUCGAAAAAUACUUCCCUGAAAGUAAAUGCUGCUGCAGGAUUAGGAAAUCAAAUGUUACCAUUCGGGCAGCAAUCUUUAGCUGAUGAAUAUAAUGUACCACGCACCAUAGACAAUAUGUAAUAGGUUUAAAGAUAAGCAUGUUGCGUGAACUCCCUGCCAGGAGAUCUUAUGCCUGUGAAACACGUUGGAUCAAUUUCGUUGGAAGAAUUAGAAGGUGAGCAAGAAGACAAGGCCAUUUGGAGCACCAGGAUGCACCCAACCCAAAAGAGUCACUUUUUGACUUCUGUGGAAUGUGAAAGCUUGCAGAAUAGAGAAUAAUCAGUGUGAGAGGCAUACCUUGAUCAGCGUCUGCAGAAGAAAACACACAUUCCAAUUAACAAGAGCGCACGCCGUUCCCCUUUUCUUCCUUAUCGGUGGAUCUUCAGAUCUCCCUUUCUUUGUUGCCUCAUCUUCCUGUGGACUUCAGCUCUACCGUCAACAUUGAGACUGCAAGAUCCUAGGGGCGCGAGACCCCGUUUGUUUGCUUGCUUGCUUACAUCUAAAUUGCCUGCUGUCGUGCGGGGUUACUGUUAUUAUUUAAUAAUAUGAGAUGUCCGAGCAUUAUCUGGAUCUGCUGGACUUCGCUGCCUGUCGUUCCCAACUUUGGGCAGCUGAUUUAGAGGCGACAGAGAUGCAGAUAGAGGAAUAAUGCAGCAAAUGGACCCUCCGUGUUUAGGAGUUCUAUAUCUCAGAGCCGUCAGCAGAGGAAAAUGGUAAAGAUUGGAUGAACUGGGGAGCUACAACAGUGUUUCUCAAACUUGGCAACUUUAAGACACGUGGACUUCAACUCCCAGAAUUCCCCAGGCAGCUUGCUUGUAUAUACUUAUGACAUAGUAUGACACCUGACAUGCAUAUGACAUAGUGCCGGAUUGUCACACAACUGUUCUGCCUGAUUACUGGAUUUGGGUCUUCCACAGUACACUGAACCAGAAACUAGCCAACUACAAACCCCAACAAAGACCAUGAAUGAAGGUUAACACUAACCAAACUUAGCAUGUUGUGCAAACGCAGCUCUUAAAUCUUUAACUGAAUUGGUUCAAAGGGUUGCAUGAACCCAGUUAGUAAAAGCUUACAGAGCAGCCUGUGGGGCACCGAGCAAAAUAUAAGCAAUGUCCAGCUACAUUUCAGAGCAACAAGGCUACCUAUUACCUGGCCAGGCUGAUUAAAUAUGAACCUCCACAUCUCAUUGCAGUAUAUCUUUGAAUACUGGCAGAGGAAAAAAUAAAUGGGAAGACCUUUAGAAAA